AUUGAACGCUGGCGGCAGGCCUAACACAUGCAAGUCGAACGGUAACAGGAAGCAGCUUGCUGCUUCGCUGACGAGUGGCGGACGGGUGAGUAAUGUCUGGGAAGCUGCCUGAUGGAGGGGGAUAACUACUGGAAACGGUAGCUAAUACCGCAUAAUGUCGCAAGACCAAAGAGGGGGACCUUCGGGCCUCUUGCCAACGGAUGUGCCCAGAUGGGAUUAGCUUGUUGGUGGGGUAACGGCUCACCAAGGCGACGAUCCCUAGCUGGUCUGAGAGGAUGACCAGCCACACUGGAACUGAGACACGGUCCAGACUCCUACGGGAGGCAGCAGUGGGGAAUAUUGCACAAUGGGCGCAAGCCUGAUGCAGCCAUGCCGCGUGUAUGAAGAAGGCCUUCGGGUUGUAAAGUACUUUCAGCGGGGAGGAAGGGAGUAAAGUUAAUACCUUUGCUCAUUGACGUUACCCGCAGAAGAAGCACCGGCUAACUCCGUG
rnacentral:rRNA from 1 species